rnacentral:rRNA from 1 species
CAGUGAAGAAGACUCCAUGGUUAAUACCCAUGGACGAUGACAUUAGCUGCAGAAUAAGCACCGGCUAACUCUGUGCCAGCAGCCGCGGUAAUACAGAGGGUGCAAGCGUUAAUCGGAAUUACUGGGCGUAAAGCGAGCGUAGGUGGCUUGAUAAGUCAGAUGUGAAAGCCCCGGGCUUAACCUGGGAACGGCAUCUGAUACUGUUAGGCUAGAGUAGGUGAGAGGAAGGUAGAAUUCCAGGUGUAGCGGUGAAAUGCGUAGAGAUCUGGAGGAAUACCGAUGGCGAAGGCAGCCUUCUGGCAUCAUACUGACACUGAGGUUCGAAAGCGUGGGUAGCAAACAGGAUUAGAUACCCUGGUAGUCCACGCCGUAAACGAUGUCUACUAGUCGUUGGGUCCCUUGAGGACUUAGUGACGCAGCUAACGCAAUAAGUAGACCGCCUGGGGAGUACGGCCGCAAGGUUAAAACUCAAAUGAAUUGACGGGGGCCCGCACAAGCGGUGGAGCAUGUGGUUUAAUUCGAUGCAACGCGAAGAACCUUACCUGGUCUUGACAUAUCUAGAAUCCUGCAGAGAUGCGGGAGUGCCUUCGGGAAUUAGAAUACAGGUGCUGCAUGGCUGUCGUCAGCUCGUGUCGUGAGAUGUUGGGUUAAGUCCCGCAACGAGCGCAACCCUUGUCCUUAGUUACCAGCGGUUUGGCCGGGAACUCUAAGGAUACUGCCAGUGACAAACUGGAGGAAGGCGGGGACGACGUCAAGUCAUCAUGGCCCUUACGACCAGGGCUACACACGUGCUACAAUGGUAGGUACAGAGGGCAGCUACACAGCGAUGUGAUGCGAAUCUCAAAAAGCCUAUCGUAGUCCAGAUUGGAGUCUGCAACUCGACUCCAUGAAGUAGGAAUCGCUAGUAAUCGCGGAUCAGAAUGCCGCGGUGAAUACGUUCCCGGGCCUUGUACACACCGCCCGUCACACCAUGGGAGUUGAUUGCACCAGAAGUGGGUAGCCUAACCUUUUAGGAUGGCGCUCACCACGGUGUGGUUGAUGACUGGGGUGAAGU